rnacentral:rRNA from 1 species
UACGUAGGGUGCGAGCGUUGUCCGGAAUUAUUGGGCGUAAAGAGCUCGUAGGCGGUCUGUCGCGUCGAUCGUGAAAACUUGGGGCUUAACCCUGAGCUUGCGGUCGAUACGGGCAUGACUGGAGUUCGGCAGGGGAGACUGGAAUUCCUGGUGUAGCGGUGAAAUGCGCAGAUAUCAGGAGGAACACCGGUGGCGAAGGCGGGUCUCCGGGCAGUAACUGACGCUGAGGAGCGAAAGCGUGGGGAGCGAACAGG